rnacentral:rRNA from 1 species
GGGCCGCAGUAUUUUGACUGUGCAAAGGUAGCAUAAUCAUUAGUCUUCUAAUUAAGGGCUAGAAUGAAUGGUUGGACGAGGUAUUAGCUGUCUCAUUUAAAUGGAUUUAAUUUAACUUCUCAGUGAAAAGGCUGAGAUUUGAUUGGAGGACGAGAAGACCCUAUAGAGCUUUAUGAGAGUAGGGUGAUUUAGCUUGGAGGAUAUAUGAUGUUACUUGAAUCUUAUUUUGUUGGGGCGACAGGAAAAUAACUAAACUUUUCUUUAAUUUUACAUUGAUGUAUGAGUAUGUGAUCCAUUACUAAUGAUUAUAAGAUUAAGUUACCUUAGGGAUAACAGCGUUAUUCUCUUAGAGAGUUCAAAUCGAUAAGAGAGUUUGCGACCUCGAUGUUGGACUAAGAAAAAUUCUGGGUGAAGAAGUUCAGAGUUUAGGUCUGUUCGACCUUUAGAUUCUUACAUGAUCUGA